UACAUGGGGUGCAAACGUUGCUCGGAAUUAUUGGGCGUAAAGCGCACGUAGGCGGUUCGUUAAGCCGGAUGUGAAAGCCCUCGGCUCAACUGAGGAAGUGCACCCGAAACUGGCGAGCUUGAGUACGAAAGAGGAUCGCGGAAUUCCCGGUGUAGAGGUGAAAUUCGUGGAUAUCGGGAGGAACACCAGUGGCGAAGGCGGCGAUCUGGGAAGAUACUGACGCUGAGGUGCGAAAGCGUGGGGAGCAAACAGG
rnacentral:rRNA from 1 species